GAUGAACGCUGGCGGCGUGCCUAAUACAUGCAAGUCGAGCGAAUGGAUUAAGAGCUUGCUCUUAUGAAGUUAGCGGCGGACGGGUGAGUAACACGUGGGUAACCUGCCCAUAAGACUGGGAUAACUCCGGGAAACCGGGGCUAAUACCGGAUAACAUUUUGCACCGCAUGGUUCGAAAUUGAAAGGCGGCUUCGGCUGUCACUUAUGGAUGGACCCGCGUCGCAUUAGCUAGUUGGGGAGGUAACGGCUCACCAAGGCAACGAUGCUUAGCCGACCUGAGAGGGUCAUCGGCCACACUGGAACUGAGACACGGCCCAGACUCCGACGGGAGGCAGCAGUAGGGAAUCUUCCGCAAUGGACGAAAGUCUGACGGAGCAACGCCGCGGGAGUGAUGAAGGCUUGCGGGUCGUAAAACUCUGUUGUUAGGGAAGAACAAGUGCUAGUUGAAUAAGCUGGCACCUUGACGGUACCUAACCAGAAAGCCACGGCUAACUACGUGCCAGCCGCCGCGGUAA
rnacentral:rRNA from 1 species